GCGCUCGUAGCUCAGUGGAUAGAGUACCUGGCUUCGAACCAGAGGGUCGGGGGUUCGAUUCCCUCCGAGCGCACCA
rnacentral:tRNA from 1 species